AGAGUUUGAUCCUGGCUCAGAACGAACGUUGGCGGCGUGCUUAACACAUGCAAGUCGAACGAGAAAGUUUUCUUCGGAGAACGAGUACAGUGGCGCACGGGUGAGUAACGCGUAAGUAAUCUACCUUGGCAUCUGGAAUAACUACGGGAAGCUGUAGCUAAUACCGGAUACGUUUAUAGAGUUACGACUCUAUACAGAAAGAUGACCUCUUCUUGAAAGUUAUCGUGCUAAGAGGAGCUUGCGUACCAUUAGCUAGUUGGUAGGGUAAAGGCCUACCAAGGCAACGAUGGUUAGCGGGUCUGAGAGGAUGAUCCGCCACACUGGAACUGGAACACGGACCAGACUCCUACGGGAGGCAGCAGUGAGGAAUAUUGCGCAAUGGGGGAAACCCUGACGCAGCGACGCCGCGUGGAUGAUGAAGGCCUUCGGGUCGUAAAAUCCUGUCAGAUGGGAAGAAAUGUAUGUAGGAAUAAUACCCUAUGUGCUUGACGGUACCAUCAAAG
rnacentral:rRNA from 1 species